rnacentral:lncRNA from 1 species
UUUUGCACAGCUCAGUAUUGAAAAUGGUGUUUGAAAAAGCUAUUUUAAACAAUCAGCUACUGGUCCUUGUUUCACAUUAAACUAAGAUUUAUAGACUAAAGAAAAUAUCAAAGUAACCAACUUAAACUCUGACAGUUUUCGCAUCUGCCCUAGUCUCUCACUGACGCCCUCUCACAAGAUAGAAGUGGCAGAAGUUACCACAUGAUCUCCUUUUAUCUUUGAAAGUGACACAGUGACUGACUCACUCAAGGUAUUAAAGGAAGUUAGCAAAGAAUGUGCCUUUCUGAUUUCAACUGCUUUCCCUUCACUAUGACGAGUCAGGUCUGAGGGGAAAGGUAGCCAAGUGAUACAUUAUAAAGCCAUUGCAAUACUCCUUAUUCGUCUCUCUAUAUGUAACUCACAAGAAAGCCAAAACUAAAGAAAAUCAUCAAUAGAAUUUUCCAUGCCCUCAAAACUCUGCACUGUUGAUAGACUCUAUGUCAUUUUUUUAAACAAAGGGUGAAACCCUAUAGGGACUAGAAGAAAAGAGAACCAAUUACUUUGCACAGAUUCUUUUUU